rnacentral:rRNA from 1 species
GAUGAACGCUAGCUACAGGCUUAACACAUGCAAGUCGAGGGGAAACGAUAGGGAAAGCUUGCUUUUUCUAGGCGUCGACCGGCGCACGGGGGAGUAACGCGUAUCCAACCUGCCCAUCACUUGGGGAUAACCUUGCGAAAGUAAGACUAAUACCCAAUGACGUCUCUAGAAGACAUCUGAAGGAGAUUAAAGAUUUAUCGGUGAUGGAUGGGUAUGCGUCUGAUUAGCUUGUUGGCGGGGUAACGGCCCACCAAGGCGACGAUCAGUAGGGGUUCUGAGAGGAAGGUCCCCCACAUUGGAACUGAGACACGGUCCAAACUCCUACGGGAGGCAGCAGUGAGGAAUAUUGGUCAAUGGACGAGAGUCUGAACCAGCCAAGUAGCGUGCAGGAAGACGGCCCUAUGGGUUGUAAACUGCUUUUAUAAGGGAAUAAAGUGAGUCUCGUGAGACUUUUUGCAUGUACCUUAUGAAUAAGGACCGGCUAAUUCCGUGCCAGCCGCCGCAGUAA